UCCAUUGUAAGGCGGAUUCUUUACCAGUGGACCACCAGGGAAGUCCCCCAUGUUCCUUUUUAAAAUUAGCCACUUUCAAAUAUUCAUCCUCAAGUGGAAGCAGAAAAAAAGAGUUGGGAAAUAAUAAGUGAAUCACCUGUGUCUUCCUAGUGUUCCUAAAUGAGACAUGUGCCCUGCUAUUUUCUACGAUCCUUAAGUAAUAAUGAUAUUUGGUGUUAUUUUCCACCUGAAACUCUCAUAAUUUUACCAAGUUAGACCUUCUUUUCAUGUUUUAUUGUCCUUACACUCUCUUAGGCUACUAAAUCCUCAGACAGAUUUACUAAAUGGAAAACUGGUGUUCAGAGGUCAAGUGAAGCAGAACUUAGUGGUGAAAUUUAACCUGAGUCUGAAGUUUAAAAACACACCAAGAUCCAGUCUCCUUUAUAAUAUACUGACUUAGGAGGGUGGAAAAAAUGAAAAACUGCUUGGUGCUCAUAAAUUUUAAGAUCACAAAUGACCUCAUUUAGGGCUAAUGAUUACCUCAUAAUAAUGUAAAUUAGUGCUUUACUAUAGAAUCUUUGUAUUAAGUAGUAAUUGAGCCUUUUACUAAUUAGUACUCCUAAACUUACAGAAUAUUUUCUAAAUUUGCUCUUUAAUAACUUUAGAUCACUGCAUAGAUUAUUUCAAACUCAGUUAUCAGAAUCUCCUUUAAAGGGUUGUCUUUUUAACUUUUUGCAUCUAAAACUUUUGAUGUAGAAUUACCCAAACUUCUUGCCAUUACCGAAAUUCAGAUAAGUGAAGCAAGGGAGAUAGAAGGUGUUAAAAUGUGAGGCAGUGACUUAACCCAAAAGCACGGUUACUAUCAUCAGUGAGAUUAUUUUUUUUAUGAAAUUAAAGAAAGUAGAUUGGUUUACUUGGACACUUUUUCUCCAGACUCCACUUUAUGUGAUAGGAUGGUAGGAUGUUUUUCUCUCUAAAAGGUGCUGUACUUUUUACUGCUAAGAAUUAAAAGUUAACGUCACCCCACGGCAUAUCAUGUUAAAAUUAGGAGCUCUCAUGGUUACUUCUUCUUUCUCCUCUCCACAGGUAAUUCUUCCCAAGCUAUUGGUUCAAUCCAAGCUCUUCUGUACACACAAGGUCAACAAACAUUUGAUUUAUUUUCUUGGCAUUAAUAUAAGUCAAAAUCACACCCAGGAGACUAGGGUGUGGUAAUACAGACAUCAAAUCUCCUAAUACCCUAAUUCUAAGCCCAUCAGUCCACAUCCUUUUUCAUGUGAGAAAGAAUGACAGAAACAAUCUGACAAUUAACAGUCCGGCUUCUAGAGCCAAGACACACUAAAAUGUAAGAAAAACUGGCAUAACAGGGUGACCUGCAUUAGGGCUAGAGGAGUGGUCAGUGGUAAAUCCAGCCCAAACCCCUUGGACUGUGACCACAGCACACAGAUACAUUAUAAGGUUUAAGUAAUGAAGUCGCAGUCUGAGAUCCUUUUAGCUGAACAAACAUUUAUGGAUGACCUACUCUCUGCAAACAUCUGUGGGAAAUAAAAAGAUGAAUGAGAUAUAAUUCUUGCUCUCUCUGAAUCCACAAUGUCAUCUUUCUAAUUUUCAACUAAAUAUGUAAUUCAGUUUUCCCCAAUACUCUGUUUUUAUUCUUACAUCUCUUCAUGUAAGAUUGUCUCCUAGAAGUCAUUUAAUAUAAUGCUCAUACAAUUCCAGCUAGUAACUUUAUUUUUUGCUCUCAAUUCAUCUCCCCACUCUAAGAUCAAGACCAGGGUGGUGAAUGGAUGAGUUGGUGAAUAAUUUCAAUCUACUCUGCUCUCAAGCUGAAAUCACAUCAGGCAUGUGGCUUUAACAUACAAAAUCAAAAUAUAUUCACAAUGUCUGUACCACUGAAUUUUUCACCUUUUCACUGUUAGCUUUCAGAACCGUUUUUGGCAGAUGAAAUUGAGACUUUAAAAAGAAAAAUUGAAGCUCACGAUGCAAUUUUAAAAUUUAAUAAAUUUAUUUUCCACUCGUGUUUUAAACUGCUAGAUCAUUUUCCCAUUCUUCCUUGAAUUAAACGCAACACACACGUGUGCCUGUACAACACAUACACACGCAGACACAUCCACUUUGGAGACCUCUGGUGAACAAUCUAUCGUCAGGGUUAAUGGGACUUGUUAGGAUCUGUUGCUGGCCUCAGAGGAGCAUGCAGGAAGGUGGAUGGGAAGUGCCCUUGGGAUUCAUACCUACAGAGGUCAAGGGAACAGGUCUGUGCAGACGGAGGUGUUGAAAUGUAAAGCAGACCUAACAAAGGCCUGAGCCAGCCCCUCAGGGAAACUCUGAAACUGGGAUGGCCUUUCAGUCUUGUCCUACUUGGGGCAAGACUGCCUGACCGUUAUGCACCAAUACAGGUACCCCCCACUUUUCAAAAGUUGCUUUCCUCCACUUUACUUUUAGGGGACACCUAUAUUAGUACCUGUUUUUGCUAACACAAAGAAAUCCAAAGAGGAUUUUCACUUUUACGAAAAAGGUGAAAAGUGAAAAUAGCAUUCCGCAUUGGUUUUGCAGCGAUGGAGCCAUUAUAGUGGCAGCACACACCCUGAACAGAGCAGGGAGAGUGGCACCGCCAAGCUCCUUCCCCAGGGAACGUCACUCAGCAUCAAGCCACCAGAAUUUUGAACUGUGUCGGUGAGCAUCUGUGCUCUAUUUCAGUUUAUUUUGUACAUCUGUUAGCAAGAUGUGUCCUAAGAUAAUUGCCUCUUUGCUUUAUGCCAUUUCAGCUUAUGAAAGCUUUUGUAGGAACGCUCUGCUUUCAGAUAGCUGGGACACCUGUAUUUAGCAGGUCACUGGAUAAGGACUGCCCAGAGAGAAAGGCAUGACCUUGGACAAGGUAGCUCUCUUCAGCUGAGGGUAAUUCUUGGAACUUGGCUGAGAGCCAUCAGCUGCCAGCACUCCCAGCAGCCGGGGAGUAAGUGCCUCAAACAUGAAGGGGAGACCGGACCACACUCCACAGUGUCCACUACAGAAUCAAGCUUAUUUUUAGCUGUACCUUGGAGAGUUGCCAAAGGGGCAAGGAGGAAAGUGGUGAAGAAGAAUAAAAAGAAGGAGAAGGAAGAGGAGAAAGAGGAGGAGAGCAAGCCACAGAAGCAGAACAUCAGAACCUACAAGAAGUCAAGAGUGUGGCAUGGCAUGCAGGAUCUUAGUUCCCU